AUGAUGACGUAUCUCUGCGAUGCACAGCUGCGGGGUUUAGCCACGGGCCUGCUUCUCUGCACUGGCUGCGCACAAACUGUGUGCGUGUGUGUGCGUGCACGUUUUUAUCUGUCCGCUGAGUGUUGCACGAGCAAAAUCUUCACUUUGACACAAGCGUCGUUUCAGUUUGAGGCCGCUGUGCACACUGUGAACACAGAAGCCUGCGCGCCACGGAUCCUUCCUGCUGCACGUAAAGAGGCGACCGUGACAACAACUGCACGCGAGCCGCGUUCAGGGCUCCGUUCUCUCGGUCUAAAAAAAUUUUUUUUAAAAGCGGCGGGGCCGGGAGGAAAAUGUUGCGUUAGCUGCGAAGCGGCUCUCACCUGGAUCCCCAGCUAUGUGGAGGGAGCGCCUUCACACUACAGAGAGGCUCAUUCUUCCCAGAGACCUGGCAAAGCCGUCGAUCCUCAUAACUGUUUCUCUGCAGCCAUUUUGAACCAAACCGUCGACUUGAUCCAGCGCGGGGGUGGCGUGGACACGACCGACUUGCUCAGUCGAUUCAUUUUGGAAAAGUACGAGGCCCAAAAGGAUAAAAUGGAAUAUUUGAAAGAGGUGUCAAGGCACCAGUCAACCACAAGGCUUCCACACUGGACUGAACGAGGCAUAUGGCAACGGGGACACAUACUGAACAUUGCAAUAAAUGCCAUGAGGACGUGUACUCACUGCCCUUCAAGGAUAUGAAAGAGAGCUGCUUUUUUUCCCCCUCCUGUAACCCUUGAUGAAACACUGAGGUACCACUCACUAGCAUUUGUAUCUCAUGACUGUAGCACUUGAUAAAAUCUUCAGGUAUCAUUCUGAAACAUGUGUCUACAAUGACUUAUCUUUUCUUCAGAAGCAUACGCGUGGCUGUGUUUUGAGCUCUGGGCCGUAUGAGCGGGGAGCUGCUUCUUCUUCUUUUUUUUACCCGCACAUCGAGGUCUUAACUAUAGAAAAAGUAGUUGUGGCAUCCCUACUUUGUGAUCAAUACGAGGAUCUUUAGCUCAUGGCCAAAUAGAAUUAAGAAUUGCUUUAGGAUAAUGACAGUAUCGACCAGCGCUCAGUAAAGCGUUUCAGGCUGUGGCAGGUUAAUUCCCAUCUAUGAAGGUGUAAAGGGAGCCAGUCAGAGUCAGCUCUGACGGUCAAAGCAAUUCUCCUCUGCACGCAACUACUUUCCCCUCCCGUACCACACAGGCAUUUUAAGCUACUGCAAUAUAAUUUAUGACCUAUUCUUUGGAAACUAAGACAUUUGAGAGUCUCUAUGCCAUCACAGAAAUGGAGAAAAUGUUGGCAAAAGCUACGUUUGCAUAGACCACAGUAGUAAAAUCCAAACUACUGCAAGGUUAUAGAAUAAUUUAUCCUCUCCAUUGGCAUGUGCCUACAUAUCCGAAAAACCCGAAAGUCCUCAGGCGAAUCACGGAUGACAUGUCAUGAAUUACACGUCAAUAUGAGUUAUGGCGAGAUCAGGCUACAAAACAUUAAGCCUGACACUGUAAUAUACCAUAAUGACACAAUUACAGUCCAGAAAAAAAAGGGUAAGGUAAAACAAUCGUAGGAAAGAAUUAGCUCUUUUUGCAUUUAAAAACAACCAGUUCCUCUUAAAACACGAAGGAUUAUGGCAAAAAUACGAACAAAGUGGUAUAACUUGUAGCCUCUUGACCCUUUUCUGUGCCGAUAAAUAUUUUUAAAGCAAGCUCCUUUGAGUGAGCAUUGCUCCUUGCAUAUUUCCUCUGUGAAUAAAACUAAUUUACCUUGCUCAUUGUGUGAGACGCUGAGGUGUUUUGAUGUUUGGAGAUGAAAAUGCUUUGAGAUGAAAUAUUCAUUUUUUUUUUUUUUUAGUUGGCUUAAUUAUGUAUGUGUCCACUGUCAAGUUGAAAACUGCUGCUCCUGUGAGGGAUGUUUCAAGCGUACCUUUUUGCCACUGGCGCAGAAUACAUUACCUCCUUAUUACAGGAAUUGCCUGGAACACACUCAUAUGCAACCUUAUGGAAAUAUUAAAUGAAGAGGCUGCACACCUCAGUAGGCACACUGAAUAAGCAUGAGCAUUAUGAUGGUGAUUCAUAAUGUGAAUGUUGGGCUGAUGGUCGUUUUUUUAUUUUUGACGUCAUCCAUUGUUUUAGCGCAGACAAAGAGCAUUUGCCUACCUGUACAGUUUGUUCUUUAAUUUAAAAUGACCUCUUUCAAACUGUGAUAUAAUGAGCUAGUGCUCUGGAUUGUGAGCAGAUGGCAGAGGUGCCUCAGGUGUCAUUUGCCUGACAUCAUGCAAGUCAUAUGUCACUGUGAGUGUGGUCAUACAAUCAUGUAAUUAACCAGCAGGUCUAGCUGGGGGUAUUUUCAAAGGGGCAAAGGAAUAGGUCAACACUUUUUGGAAAUGCAGCUAUAUAGCUAUCCGCAAGUUUAUGUUAGAGCUCAGCAUAAAAAUCUGUCUGUUCUACUGUUUUUACAUUUUGAUUUAAAAACAAGAUUCGCCAUGUCAAUCAGUGAGCUACCCUCGGACAGAGCCACACUGGCUGUUUCCCCCCCGUUUCCAGGUCUUCCUUGUAACUCAAUAAACUCAAGAUUCACUCGACAACAUUUCAUUUCAAAAGCAGAAACGUUGGUGUCAUGAGAAGGGGUUUUGUGGGACACAUUCCCCUUCUCGAGUUCUGGAGUCUCUGCAGUUUGUCUGACAACCUCCAGGUAUCCAGUGCCCCAAGCCAAGACAUAAUCCAGCACAUAACCCCGCCUAAUGAUAUCCUGACAUUAGCUUCAUAUUUACAAUAUAGACACGAGAACCGUAUCAAUCUUCUUAUCUAACUCUUGUUACUUCAAAGAUUCAUUUAAAUAACUUAUCCCGGGGUAUGAAGGAAGAAUGGAAAGGAAAAAUGUUUUAAAAAAAAAUAUUUGUAAGAGGGUGUAACACUCAUUUGUCUUCUUCGUGUUGGAUGUGUGUGUCCGAGCGUUUAUGCACAUGUAUUUGUAUAUAAGAUUUCCAAAAGCAUAUCCUCC
ensembl:lncRNA